GUAACAAGGUUUCCGUAGGUGAACCUGCGGAAGGAUCAUUGUCG
rnacentral:rRNA from 3 species